rnacentral:lncRNA from 1 species
GGGAAGUCAAAUUAUUUCAGCUAUAAUUAAUUUGGAGUGAGUAGUGUACAAAUUGUUAGAAAUUAAUUAAUAGAUUAAUUCAAGGGAUGUGUCCAACCCCGAACAGUUGUGUUUCUCCUCUCUCUAUUGCCAACAGACACCUGUUCUGGAGGGAUGCCUCCGAACAGACACCUCUUCUUCGCACCUCUUCCAGAUGUAUAUAUACUUAAGAAUCAAUAGAAACAGAACUAAUCGUCCAUUCACUUUCAUUCAAUCUCGUUUUACUCUAACACGUUAUUAGCACGCUACGGCUGCCCUCGUCCCGGCGGAAAAGCAUCCAAGCGACAGCCUCGCCCCGUGAAUGAAGAACAGGGGCACUGGCGUCCAUCUAUCUGGAAUAAUAGAGAACGUGAACGACGACGGCAUCGGCUUCGUCUGGCGUCGGCGCCGCUGGACUGGAGCAACGGCUUGGCCUCCGGCAUCGUAGACAGUGGCGGGCCCUCAGGCGCUCGACCCCGACGAACUUCAUGAGAGGAAAAUCAAGNGGCGCACAAUCCCUCGCAUCCAUCAGUGGCGGCGAAUCAUCUAGCAUCCGGAGCAGCGGCGCCUCCGGCGUAGCGUGGCCUGGGCUGCUGGCACAACAUCUCCCUUCGAGAUGUAGCGCCCAAGGAUGGUGGUCAAUGACCACACCCACUCACGGCGCGGCGGCCGGCAGAGACGGCAGCGGCCAGCAUCCAUCCCACGGCGUGGAGGCACUCCCAAGGCGCAGGACAACGACCUUCGAUUGGUAACGCGACCUCGUCUUCAUAAUUCCUCACGGCGAUGAUAUCGUGACCGUGUACAGCCAAAAGCUAAUCACAAUCGAUGGAUUCAUGGCCGUAAGCAGAAUCGAUAGAAGACCUUAUCUAUUCGGCCAUUUAACAAUUUAGCACUUGUACGCUCUUUUAUUGACAAAUAAGGCAUUGAGCCUUAGUACUACUUGCAUAGAAGCCCUCAGGCUAAUUGUAACAAUGCGACUUAGACCCUCUGGUCAUAUCAUAUUGUCAUAUUGGAAAACACGAAUUCUACAUGCAUUAUGAGCAUAUUAUUACUAUUCAAGUGUUCAUACAUUGCAAUUUCAUCAAAUUGCAUAAUACUACAUACUAGAGGCG